AACGAUAACGAAAUAUUCAUCUUCACCAUAUUCAUUAAUUUCUUGGAACGAAAAUAAUUUAUUGAUCUCUUCUCAUCUUCGAAGUACGGUACGGUUUUCCUUUCUGUUUUCAUUGUUCAUUAUUCAUUUCUUGGUAUCUCUCUCGCACUGUUGUGUGUUUUUCCUUUAUACGGUGUGGAAUUUUGUUUUGUUGCAAUUGGAUUUGAAUACAAGAGCUGGAAACUUUAGUUUUGUUU
rnacentral:lncRNA from 1 species